ACUUUAAUACAGGUACAACUGAACUUAUAUUGGAAUGGCUUAAAUUUUUGGCUAUAUUUGUACUCCCACUGACGUUGAUUCUUCUACUCAAAGCAUGUGUAAAGAAAUACGGCAAUCGGGUGUGGAGCUCUAUAAGUUGCAAUAAAAGCAGCCACGAUGAAAACAAUGAAAUGGAGUUACGGCCAUUGAUUAAGGAGACUACUAGGGAUUGAAAUCGAAUGAGAAAUCUCUUCAAAAAAAAAAAAAAAGAAACACAAGAA
rnacentral:sRNA from 1 species